rnacentral:rRNA from 1 species
AGGACGAACGCUGGCGGCGUGCUUAACACAUGCAAGUCGAGCGGUAAGGCUCCUUCGGGAGUACACGAGCGGCGAACGGGUGAGUAACACGUGAGCAAUCUGCCCUUCUCUUCGGAAUAAGCGUUGGAAACGACGUCUAAUGCCGAAUACGACCUCCUUUCACAUGAUCGGAGGUGGAAAGCUCCGGCGGAGAAGGAUGAGCUCGCGGCCUAUCAGCUAGUUGGUGUGGUAACGGCCCACCAAGGCGACGAC